rnacentral:rRNA from 1 species
GAUGAACGCUGGCGGCGUGCUUAACACAUGCAAGUCGAACGGAAAGGCCAGUGCUUGCACUGGUGCUCGAGUGGCGAACGGGUGAGUAACACGUGGGUGAUCUGCCCUGCACUUUGGGAUAAGCCUGGGAAACUGGGUCUAAUACCAGAUAGGACCAUGCUUUGGAUGGUGUGGUGGAAAGUUUUUUCGGUGUGGGAUGAGCUUGCGGCCUAUCAGCUUGUUGGUGGGGUAAUGGCCUACCAAGGCGUCGACGGGUAGCCGGCCUGAGAGGGUGUACGGCCACAUUGGGACUGAGAUACGGCCCAGACUCCUACGGGAGGCAGCAGUGGGGAAUAUUGCACAAUGGGCGCAAGCCUGAUGCAGCGACGCCGCGGGGGGGAUGACGGCCUUCGGGUUGUAAACUCCGUUCGCAACUGACGAAGCUUUUUGUGACGGUAGGUUGAGAAGAAGCACCGGCUAACUACGUG